ACGGCUCAGUAACACGUGGACAACCUGCCCUUAGGUUGGGUAUAAACCCGGGAAACUGGGUAUAAUACCCGAUAGGUCUCGAUUGCUGGAAUGCAUCGAGAUUUAAAGCUCCGGCGCCUAAGGAUGGGUCUGCGGCCUAUCAGGUAGUAGUGGGUGUAGCGUACCUACUAGCCUACGACGGGUACGGGUUGUGAGAGCAAGAGCCCGGAGAUGGAUUCUGAGACACGAAUCCAGGCCCUACGGGGUGCAGCAGGCGCGAAAACUUUACAAUGCUGGCAACAGCGAUAAGGGAACCUCGAGUGCCAGGUUACAAAUCUGGCUGUCGAGAUGCCUAAAAAGCAUUUCAUAGCAAGGGCCGGGCAAGACCGGUGCCAGCCGCCGCGGUAACACCGGCGGCUCGAGUGGUAACCGUUAUUAUUGGGUCUAAAGGGUCUGUAGCCGGCCGGAUAAGUCUCUUGAGAAAUCUGGCAGCUUAACUGUCAGGCUUUCAGGAGAUACUGUCUGGCUCGAGGCCGGGAGAGGUGAGAGGUACUUCAGGGGUAGGGGUGAAAUCUUGUAAUCCUUGAAGGACCACCAGUGGCGAAGGCGUCUCACCAGAACGGACCUGACGGCAAGGGACGAAAGCUAGGGGCACGAACCGGAUUAGAUACCCGGGUAGUCCUAGCCGUAAACGAUACUCGCUAGGUGUCGGCCACGGUGCGACCGUUGUCGGUGCCGUAGGGAAGCCGUGAAGCGAGCCACCUGGGAAGUACGGCCGCAAGGCUGAAACUUAAAGGAAUUGGCGGGGGAG
rnacentral:rRNA from 1 species